AUUGAACGCUGGCGGCAGGCCUAACACAUGCAAGUCGAGCGGAGCGGCGGACGGGGGAGUAAUGCCUAGAAAUCUGCAUGGUAGUGGGGGAUAACGUCCGGAAACGGACGCUAAUACCGCAUAAUAUCAGAUGAGCCUAGGUCGGAUUAGCUAGUUGGUGGGGUAAAGGCUUACCAAGGCGACGAUCCGUAACUGGUCUGAGAGGCUGAUCAGUCACACUGGAACUGAGAAACGGUCCAGAAUCCUACGGGAGGCAGCAGUGGGGAAUAUUGGGCAAUGGGCGAAAGCCUGAGCCAGCCAUGCCGCGUGUGUGAAGAAGGUCUUCGGAUUGUAAAGCACUUUUAGUUGGGAGGCGUUACCAAAAGAAUAAGCAACGGCUAACUUCGUGCCAGCAGCCGCGGUAAUUC
rnacentral:rRNA from 1 species